rnacentral:rRNA from 1 species
GACAGAGGUGCCAAGCGUUAGGCGGGAUCACUGGGCUUAAAGCGUGUGUAGGCGGAAUGGUAAGUACCUUGUGAAAUCCCACGGCUCAACCGUGGAACUGCUUGGUAUACUGCUUUUCUUGAGCCACUUAGGGGCUGUCGGAACAAACGGUGGAGCGGUGAAAUGCGUAGAUAUCGUUUGGAACGCCAAAGGUGAAAACAGACAGCUGGGAGUGUGCUGACGCUGAGGCGCGAAAGCCAGGGGAGCAAACGGG